GUGGGAAGAAAAGAGGAUCUCGAUUUCCCCGCGCCGGCCACCGAAACGGGGCGAGGUUUUGGAGAAACUCAGAGGCCCUAGUCAACCUACUGGCGCUCCCCUGCCCGCCCGGCUCCCAGGAAGCACCAGAGAACUGCCGAGACCCGCGACAGCCGGUGCUGAGCCAGCUCUGCCGCCGCGUAGAGCAUCCCUGGGCGGUGGAGGGAGGAGGUACUGCUACCUCCCCGUCCAACUUCUCACCGUAAGAACCCUUCUGCCCGCGCUCCCCUCCCCCCUCCCAGGUGCGGGGUACCUCCGUGCGAGGCGUGAGAAGAGCUAUGGGCAGGGAGAGAGUCGUUCCUGCUGGCUCAUCUUCUCCCUCCGCCGGCGCGGCGGGGUCCGCCUCGGAUGAUCACGGCUAGAGGUUGCUGGGACAGGGGUCGGGGAAGCUCGGUGUCCUGGGGGAGCCGCGAGAAAAGCCCCGGGAGGGGACGCAGAGUGGCAGUCCCUGGGAUGGAUGGUGAAUGUAAGGGUCUGCAACACCCCCUCCCCCCCGCCAACAAACACCUCCUUCUCUCGGAUGACAAAAAGUAAUAACUCAGACGUCAACAGGUUUCUACUGCCUUGGCACGGAGUAACCGUAACAACAGCGCUGAUAAGGAAAAGCCAGUAAAUGGUUUAUUUUCAAGUUCGAUUCCAAGCCUGGCAAACUGGGUGCCGGAGCAGCGGUGAGAGGAUGGACCGACAACUUUGGCAAUAGAAACCGAAUACCCACCAACGCUGAAUGCAUGGCCGAUCCGGGGCUCGUCGUGCAAACCCUGCUGCAGAAGGGUGAGGACUCCAAGCCCCGGAGCCGCUACUACUGCCAGAAGAAGUGGUGCCUGUGGAAGCUCCCGCAGCCAAACGGGAUCUCGUCGGUGACCCCCAUCCUUCCAUGGAAUAGCCCUUCAAAGUGCCCAGGAUUAGCGUUGGGGUGUGAGACCUGAGCUCUGUCACUGCCUCUCCUGGCUUCCCUUUCUCAGCCCCUAAGAUGCAGGACGUGUGAGCACAGCCUCACUUGGGUUCCAGGGAGGGAGGCAGGGUCUUCCACUUCUCCCGCACCGCCUGGGCGCAUCCUGCCCACCGCCUGCCUCACCGCCCGCCUCCCUGCUGUCUGUGCACUCCUUCAGCACACCUCUCAGGGGCCUGGGGACUCGCUGCGGUGAGAUCGGGUCUCCCCGCCUCCUCCUUUCGACUCGGCAGACUCUGGGCUGCCGCUGUAUCUUUUUCUUGGGAUACUCACACCCAACUUCCCCGCGCCGAAGCAGCCAAUGAAAAAUGUAUCGCCUGUCACGUAAUUAAUAUAUAACCCCCCUCGUCGUUCCCCCGCAAGCCGAAGAGUUGUUUCAAAGGUUUGCUUAUUUCUUUACCAAAUACGUCACCUCUGAGCAUCUUGGGAAGCACUGGAGUCGAGCUCAGACGUACGAUUUUUAAUUUUUCGUUUAUGCCUGCCUUGGUUAUACUAUCACCUGAUUUUUUAGAAGUACUAUAACUCAGGGGAAGUCACUUGCAAGUUGUUAAAACGAAUAUUUCUACUGGGACUGUAUCAGGCUUGCAGAGACACAGAUGUCUCCUUAUUUCCUCCUUCCUAUGGCUGCAGCCGACACAACAAGAGCCACAGAUACGCUGCGGAUACGUGUGCAGGCAUGCAGAGCACCCUGGUUUUAGGAGGUUAUUUACCAAAGCUGCAAUCACACCAGCAAGCACUGAUCCUGCUGUCCAGCCGGUUUUGCCAGAGAGAGGCAGAUUGGCUUCAGCACCCCUUCAGUUUGGUUUAACCAAAAUCAAAAUGUGGGGACAGCGGAGCUGUGAGGACAGGGAGACUCUGAAGCCUCUCCAAUCUUCUUCAGAUGGAGGGCUAGCAAGCGUGUGUAGGGAGCCCCCGAGGAGCAGAAAAUCCAGACGUGGCCCCAUCAAAACAGAGGAAGGAUUUAUAGCAUCUUAUG